rnacentral:sRNA from 1 species
UGAAAGUGGGUGCAAGCUUGGCUGAUGUUGAUCCAAUGAACAUUGAUAAAUCAGUACGGUUUGAUAGCAUAGGUGGAUUGAGCCAUCAUAUUCAUGCGCUAAAGGAAAUGGUAGUAUUCCCACUUUUAUAUCCAGAAAUUUUUGAAAAGUUUAAAAUUCAGCCUCCAAGGGGCUGUUUGUUUUAUGGCCCUCCUGGCACAGGUAAAACCUUGGUUGCCAGAGCAUUAGCUAAUGAAUGCAGCCAAGGAGACAAAAAAGUGGCUUUUUUUAUGCGAAAAGGAGCAGAUUGUUUGAGCAAGUGGGUUGGUGAAUCUGAAAGGCAACUUAGGCUUCUUUUUGAUCAGGCAUAUUUGAUGAGACCUUCUAUAAUAUUUUUUGAUGAAAUAGAUGGAUUAGCUCCAGUUCGCUCUAGCAGACAAGAUCAGAUCCACAGCUAUUAUGAUAAUGCUCAACCUGCUACAGGUUGAGCAUCCCAAAUCCAAAAAUCUGAAAUCUGAAAUGUUCCAACAUUUGAAACUGUUUGAAUUUUCACAUGACACUCAAAGGAAAUGCUCAUCAAAGCUUUUUCAGUUUUGGAUUUUGGGAUUCAGGAAGCUCCACUGGUAAAUAUAAUGCAAAUAUUCCCAAAUCUGAAAAAUAUCCCAAGUUUAAAAUAAUUCUGGUCUGAAGCUUUUUUUUUUUUUGAGAUGGAGUCUCACUCUGUUGCCCAGGCUGGAGUGCAGUGGCGGGAUCUUGGCUCACUGCAACCUCUGCCUCCCGGGUUCAAGCAGUUCUCCUGCCUCAGCCUCCCAAGUAGCUGGGAUUACAGGCAUGUGCCACCACGCCUGGCUAUUUUUUUUUGUAUUUUUAGUAGAGACUGGGUUU